UAUGUUUGAUCCAUUAUGUUUGAGUGGUCAAGACAUGACCGAAUCAAAAUGUCGAACAUCUACAGUGCCGUUUUUGGGACCGAAAUUUGGCCAGCUGAGGAAUAUGGAAGAACAAUGUACACAAUUCGCCAAAGAGUUGGCCCGUUACUCAUGAGAGUGCAGAAGAUUUAUGGACAGAUAAAAACAAGUGGCGAGUUAACUGAAAAUGAGAUCAUCAUAACUGAGAGAACACUGAUUUAGUUAGUAACAGAGUCAGAUAAAUUCAAAAGCACCGAAUUCUGAUCUUGAAGACUGCAAGGUGAUAAAACUAUUACUCUACAAGUUAAAUACGCUGCCUAACGUUGUUGCUUUAACAGAGAAUCAGAACUGGUCUCGACCUUACUAACGUAAGAGCAUUCGUGGAAUUCGAUGAGUCAUUGAUUCAUUUAUCAACGAGAAUGCCAUCAAAUCAAUUUUUGGAAUAUUUAAUAAGAAUGCUCUCUACUUUAUGAAUAUUGCUUGAAUCAGGGAGUUUGUGCUUGUUAAUGUUAUUUAUUUGGACAUGAUCUGAGUGUGUUGGAUUUUAGGACUUGACCCUUGAUCUUAUUUUUCGUUGUUUAAGAAUAAGUGUAUAUGAUGCUUAUUUAUGUGU